rnacentral:rRNA from 1 species
UACGAAGGGGGCUAGCGUUGCUCGGAAUCACUGGGCGUAAAGCGCACGUAGGCGGAUUGUUAAGUCAGGGGUGAAAUCUCCGGGCUUAACUCGGAAAGGUCAACUGAUACUGUGCGACUAGAGUGCAGAAGGGGCAACUGGAAUUCUCGGUGUAGCGGUGAAAUGCGUAGAUAUCGAGAGGAACACCUGCGGCGAAGGCGGGUUGCUGGGCUGACACUGACGCUGAUGCGCGAAAGCCAGGGGAGCGAACGGG